AGUCGAGCGGUAGAGAGAAGCUUGCUUCUCUUGAGAGCGGCGGACGGGUGAGUAAUGCCUAGGAAUCUGCCUGGUAGUGGGGGAUAACGUUCGGAAACGGACGCUAAUACCGCAUACGUCCUACGGGAGAAAGCAGGGGACCUUCGGGCCUUGCGCUAUCAGAUGAGCCUAGGUCGGAUUAGCUAGUUGGUGAGGUAAUGGCUCACCAAGGCGACGAUCCGUAACUGGUCUGAGAGGAUGAUCAGUCACACUGGAACUGAGACACGGUCCAGACUCCUACGGGAGGCAGCAGUGGGGAAUAUUGGACAAUGGGCGAAAGCCUGAUCCAGCCAUGCCGCGUGUGUGAAGAAGGUCUUCGGAUUGUAAAGCACUUUAAGUUGGGAGGAAGGGCAUUAACCUAAUACGUUGGUGUUUUGACGUUACCGACAGAAUAAGCACCGGCUAACUCUGUGCCAGCAGCCGCGGUAAUACAGAGGGUGCAAGCGUUAAUCGGAAUUACUGGGCGUAAAGCGCGCGUAGGUGGUUCGUUAAGUUGGAUGUGAAAUCCCCGGGCUCAACCUGGGAACUGCAUUCAAAACUGACUAGCUAGAGUAUGGUAGA
rnacentral:rRNA from 1 species